AGUGAACCCUUUCUUUCUUCCUAACACAUGCAAGUCGAACGGCAGCACAGUAAGAGCUUGCUCUUACGGGUGGCGAGUGGCGGACGGGUGAGGAAUAUAUCGGAAUCUACUUUUUCGUGGGGGAUAACGUAGGGAAACUUACGCUAAUACCGCAUACGACCUACGGGUGAAAGCAUGGGAUCUUCGGACCUUGCGCGAUUGAAUGAGCCGAUGUCGGAUUAGCUAGUUGGCGGGGUAAAGGCCCACCCAGGCGACGAUCCGUAGCUGGUCUGAGAGGAUGAUCGGCCACACUGGAGCUGGGACAGGGUCCAGACUCCUGCGGGAGGCAGCAGUGUGGAAUAUUGGACAGUAGGCGCAAGCCUGAUCCAGCGAUACCGAGUGGGUGACGAAGGCCUUCGGGUUGUAAAGCCCUUUUGUUGGGAAAGAAAAGCAGCAGGUUAAUACCCCGCUGUUCUGACGGUACCCAAAGAAUAAGCACCGGCUAACUUCGUG
rnacentral:rRNA from 1 species